ACUAAAACCCUAACACUAAAACUUCACUACUUGAUCUUAUCUGAGCAGGGAUCUGAACUCUCAAUCAAGCCAAAACCCUCUCUCUCUUCUUGGAGCCACCCUCCAUGUCGGCAUGUCUGCUGGCGGCUCCGCCAUUGAGCAAAGAGGGGGAGAGAUUUGGUCUUUGGUCAUUUUCGAGGUUCGAUUUCGGCGAUGAAGACGGCCUGCGGUCAGAGUCCGAUCUUUGUUCUCCGAUCGGGCAGUGAUGGCUUCGCGGGCUAACCCCCAACCAUCAAAAUGUGGCUCUGCUGGUCGUUGCUCAACAUCAUUUGCAGGUAGUUGUUUCAGUGAUUCUCUAUGUUCAAAUUUUCUAUAUUGGGCUGUGGAAAAAAACCGUGGGUUUAAAGUGUGAUUAACUAAUGCCGACACGUUCGUACAGACAUUGAAGCUCAGCAUUCCCGUGGUAUGUAGGUGUGUUCUAUUGGUGAAAAACAAAUUUCCUUCGCUAUCUUGCAAACCAUGUCUGUUAAAGAUGGGAGGGGAGAAUACAUGGCUAUGAUGGAAUGUGAAAACCUGCGUAGUUGCAAUUAUGUAGCAACUGAGGAAUGAAAUCAUCCACCUUUUAUAUUAUGACAUGUUUUUCAAACUAUUAAAAUCAUUUAAGCAAGAAGGUUAGGAUAUUAAUACUGGCAAAUUAUAAGGUAGAUUGUGUUUGUUAAUAAAUCACUAUGGUUGAAUUGAUUAAUUGACUUUGCUAGCUCUAAGUCCUAGGUUAGUUGUGACUUGGACUUUUAGAUUUUGCCUGUAUGAUGUUGCUAUAUCUUGUAAUAGGAUAUGAGAUUAUACAUUUACGAUGUUAAUAUAUUACUUGUGAAGAUAAUUUUUAUAUAGAUUUGAUGAAUCGAUUUAUUAAUAGUCUUGGUCAAUAAAGAUAGGACAAAUAACAAUUUCAAUC